UGGCGGCGAAGGAACGCGAAUGUCCAGCCCUCCACUCAGGGGCCUGCGGCUCUGCCGUGGGGUUCACGUUGUAGCUCUGUACUCGGGGUCAGAGACAGGACUUCAGCAGAACCCCAUCUUGGCCUGGCGUCUCCCCCUGCCCCAUCUUCUCUCGUGUCUGCACAGGUUUCUUCUGAGAGCUCUCCUUUGAUGAUUCCCUUAUGUCAUUUCUCCUUUCCGGCUCUGCUUCUGGGGAACACACCCCAAGCUCGUGUUGUCUCUUCUGGGAGACUCUGACCAUACGGGCGCCUGCUCGGGAGACCUGGCUGCUCCCCUCCCGGGCCAGUGGAUGAUGAUAGCCCAGGUACUUGGGCCCCUGCACCGUGAGGGAGACCCGGAUUGAAGCUCCUGGCUCCUGGCUCCUGGCUUCAGCCUGGCCCCGUCCUGGCGAGGCCCAAGUUCAGUAAACAUCAGUUAGCCGCCAGCACAGGUGGCUCAGUCACGUUGACCAUGCCCUUCAUGUCCUUCAGUACUUUGGCUUAGUACUCUAGCAUUUGAAACGCUCCCACGUUUUGUUUUGGUAGAGUUGAGCUUAGAGCGCGUGGAGGUCUUGCCUCUCUUGCAGUAGUCUGCAUACAAUCUGCCACACCACCCUUCCUUAGGGUUUGGUUUGGUUUCUCUCUGACGGCACCCAGGGGAGGCUGUGGCUUCCUCAGACAAGCCUCAGUUUCCCCGUUCUGUCAAAAGAAUGGACUGUACAAGACGAGGUUCAAGCUCCCUUCCAGCACUGUUGGCAGCAUUCUGUCGCAGGCGGAUAAUUUGGAUGUCGGCCCUUUGGGUGCCCUCCUGCUCCACCUCCCCCACCCGGUGUUUGAACCCCACAGCCUCUGGUGUUUCGCUCCUGGAAGACACACUGCUCAUGGUUGGAGGCACCCAGCGUCUUUUCUUCACUGCUUAGCAUGCAGGUGUUCCCCUGUGCCAGCUGGUCUCUGCAAACACCGAAAGGCAUGGCUGGGGCUGUGUGCCACAUGGCAUCAGCUUAACCUCCUCUGGGAGACUGGGAACUAAGGGCAGCCACACACAGGCAUGAGUUCAGGGAGAGGUGAGGAAUUUCCCAGCAGGAUUCCUGGACACCAAAGCUCAGGUGAGUUGCCUGCUGGCUCCAUCCCCUGGCUGUGGUCCUGUCGUUGCUAGGAGGACUAAACACUGUCUGGACUACUCUGCUAGGGGGCGAGAGCAACUGCAAAGUCACACCUGCUGUCUCCUGCACCCUCCCCCUGCACCUGUUCCCCAUUGUCCACCCAUCCCUACCCUUUUCCAGUAGUGAACUAUAUAACCAUGAGUAUAACAGCUUUACUAAGCUCUGUGGGUCUUUCCAGUAGAUCUUGGAGGUCCCGGAACUUUUGACAGUAUGCCCAUUCUGAGUGUAGGUUUCAAGAACCUUGCAGGUGUUUCUGCCUAUUCCUUUUUAAAAAUUAUUUGACAGAGUUACAGACAGUGAGAGAGAGAGAGACAGAGAGAAAGGUCUUCCUUCCGUUGAUUCACUCCCCAAAUGGCCGCCACGGCCAGUGCACUGUGCCGAUCUGAAGCCAGGAGCCAGGUGCCUCCUCGUGGUCUCCCAUGCGGGUGCAGGGCCCAAGCACUUGGGCCAUCCUCCACUGCCUUUCCGGGCCACAGCAGAGAGCUGGACUGGAAGAGGAGCAACCGGGACUAGAACCCGGCGCCCAUAUGGGAUGCCGGUGCCGCAGGCAGAGGAUUAACCAAGUGAGCCACGACACCGGCCCCUCUGCCUAUUCCUUUACACUUCUGGGAUUGUCAUGAGAAGGAUAUGCUUGGAUUAGCUCACUAGUCCAGAAAGGAUCACUGAAGCAUGUAGAGCAAGGCCAUGUCCAACAACCCCAUCCUCCAUCAGUUGGUCCCCAACUGACUGUGCAUGAGUGAACCAGGCAGAGAAGCGCAGAACCACCCAGCCGAGCCCUGCCUGUAGUUCCUGACCCACAAGCUGACACACAUACCUGUGAGAAAUAAUACACAGUUGCUGUUCCAAGCCACUGGGCUUUCAAAUGAUGCUUCAUGCAGCAAUAGAAUUGAUAAACCCCAAAGCAACAGUGGUGGGCUCAGUCUUGCUCUAACUGAUUUUGGAGCCCCUGGAACCCCUGCAAGCUGCUUAUUCUGAGGGUCUCUGUACCUCCAGCUUCCCAGUCAGGACAGAGUAACAGACCAGCCAGCUGUGUGAUUUACUCACACAAAGUGCAAGGGAUCGGUUGCUCCUAAGGUUGCCCCACUGUCACUAAGGAAGGUUUUUGUGGAGCCUUUGUAGGGAACGGACAGGAUGAGUGAAGAGGGGCGUGGUCUGAGAGCAGUGCUGGGCAAGAGGAUAGGGGAGUGGGCCUCAGGGAGAACUAAAGAGAAAAGGACUCUGUGGAAGGUGGGCUGGUGUUUUGGUGCACUGUGUGUUCUAGAACAGAAUACCUGAGCCUGGGCAAUUUGUAAAGGCAAGAAGUUUGUUAAUUAGGUCCUGGUUCUAGAAGUCCGAGAUCUCUGGAGGGCCUCGUGCUGAGUCGUGACUUGGCAGAAAAGCAGAAGCCACAUGGGGUUGUGCAGAAGAGGGAGAACACGAGGGGAAGCCUUGCUUUAUGGCAUCCCACCCUCGCAGGAUCCAAUCCAGAGCCGCCAGAAAGAUACUGACCCCUCUUGAUGGCCUAGUCACCCCUUAAAGACCCCAACUCAACACUGCCGUCCUGGCAGGGGAAUCUCAACGUGGUUUCAGAGUGGACAGACCAUGCUCGAACCACAGCAGGCAAGGAAGAAUCUAGGGGGUAUUUUUGGCUACCAUUUGACUGGGCGCUUCCGCCAGAUGUGUGCACCCUCACUCCGGGCAGCUUGUGCCUUCCAGUGUGCUUCAGGCUCCUGUUCUUCUUGGAUGUACCGCUGACCUUGUGGAUCUCGCCAGUUUUGAAUUCUCUGCUUCUGACUCCCGUGCCCGACAGUCAAGGUCAAGGGUUGCUUCAUUCUCUGGGUCCAUCUACUCCUAGCUUCCCCAGGGUCUCAGCCCUACUUGAUGGAACCCUGGCUUCCAGGGCCUUUCCCAGGUAAUGCCUGCCCUCCCAGGACUUCCCCGACCAGAUGCGGGUAGAUUGGAUUAGUGUUGAGCAAAUAUUCACCACCCUUGCCCUUGCUCCCUGGCAACGGGCAUCCCCACACCCAGACACACACAGCGACUUUGGGUUGGUCUGUGUGACUGGCUUUGGACAGUGAACUGUGAGUGGGAGUGAAAGUGUGCUCAUCCUAAGGGGGUUGUAUAUCUGCCCACCCCUCUGGGAGGUUCUGACCUCCACCUUGAGAGGAUCAUGCCCAGCUCACCAGCUCAUGGGCCGAUUUGAACCUGAUCUUCACGUUGAAGCAGAGCCGCCUUAGUCAGUUCCUAGGCAUUAGAACCAGUUUGGAGCAGUUUGUUAUGCAGCCUGUUCUAGUGGCUGCUGACUAACACAGCCCCAGCCCGAGAGGGGACGGCCACUCUUGCCAAGUGAGAUCACUGUUACGGUAACAGCUACCACAAACCCCUAACGAAGGAAAAUCCCUUUUAUUCAGAGACACUUACAUAAGCCCAUCGUAGGUAUCAGUUUUUCAGGCAAGCAUGAAUCACCCGUUUGGCUCUUUUUUGUUUAUAAGAGUUGGGAAAGUAAUGUUAAGGCGUGAGUACUCCCGACAAAAACAAAACACCCAAGUGUGUGUGACCUGAUCCACUGCGGCCAGUCCAAGUAGAGGUCAAGGAUACAAAGUGUUACUUUGCCUCAGGGAAAGACACUUGCCCAGAAGUGGAUCGAACCCCCGGCUUGUCCUCCAUCCAGCUGCAGGUCUGAGGGCUAGAGAGGAGACAUGGCACGCUGCUACAGGACAGGCCUGUGAGAAAGCCUUCCCACUCCCGAACUGGUGGUGUCUGGUCGUAAGUGGAGGCGUGCCGUGGGGGAGGGGAGCUGGCCUGGUUUUCCGGCAGGGCUGCCCCGGCGGGGCACUGCCGGCUGGGGCGUCAGCAGCCAUGCUGGAGGCUGGAGCCCCAGCUGAAGGUGUUGGCAGAACUGGCUUCUUCCGAGGCCUCGCUCCCUGACUUCCCACGGAUGUCUUCUCCCUGUGCCUUCCCGCACGGCCGCUCUGUGCCUGCCUGUGGCUUCCCCUCUUCUUAGAAGGACACCCCCGUGACCUCACUGAACUCGUCUUCCCUCUGUAAAGACCCCAUUUCCCCAUGCAGCCAUCUUCUGAAGUGCGAGGGAUUAGGACUUCCACAUCUGAAUUUCGGGGAGACUCGGUGUGUUCCAAGACACGGAGUCAGAUCAGCACGAGGGUGGGGGCGCUGGCCAGGAACAUCCCGUGCUGCCAAGGGAGAGGAGUUUCCAUCACAGGAGCUAUUUCUGUGCUGACUGGAUGACCUCGUUAGCAAGACCGUCUCUUUCAUUCAUUCAGUAACGAGGCCCGUACAGCCUCCCUCCAGAGGGGCCGGGAAGCAGGUAGGGUGUAUUCCCUUCUGCAGCCACACCGCUCAGCACAGAAGCAGACCUGUGAUGGCCACCUUGGAGUAUAACAAGGGACGACGCUGGCACGGCCAGGGAGGGUAGCAGACGGUAUCUGUUGCUCACACAAACCUCAUGGUUUCAGGUACGAAGAAAUCCUUCUUAUCUCAAGGAGCUUAAGGCCUUUACCCAGUCCCAAGAGCGACUUGAAGGUGUUCUAAGUCGGUAUGGAUUCUGGCAAAGCCUCCAGUCCACAACAACCAAAGUGUCCUAGCUAGAUAUUUCUAGAAAAUUCUACUUUCCUGUUAAUAAAUACAUAAAUAUAUAAACACAUGAAUGAAUCAAACGACUUCCAUGGCCUUCGUUCUUUAUCCUUCCUUCUUCCGGACUGAACUAUAGAGGUGAUACCUGGAGCUAGGACACCCAUCUUGCAACCAUGAGGCAGCCAAGUGCCCCAAGGAUGGGGGAUGACAAGACAGGAAGGGUCUCCUUCUUUGUGAUGUCAGCCCUAGAGUAUGCACUCUACUGGCUGCUUAAAUGAAAAAUAAAUAAAGCUCUAUCUGUUUAAGCGUGAGAAGUUGAGUUUGCUGCCACCCAUAGUCAAACAUACCCCAAAUUGAAUCCGAUAGGAAUUGCAACAGAAAUAGCGCUCCCACCAGGGUCUGCAGGGAAAGCAGUUGCUAUGCAGGUGAAGGGUGGGGAAAGCCCUCCGGAUGGAGGGGCCCUGCUGUUAAGGCCGAGGCUGGAGAGAGCAUGGCCAGAGCAGGCAGGGCCUUGUAGGACCAGACACAAGGAUUUUAGCCCCCAAAAGGCUAGGGUAACACAACCCUUUGAGUCCCGUUGAUGUAAGCAGACAGAUAGGAUAAAUUCGAUGAGGUUUGCGAGCUGGAAGACCACACCCCCUGUGUGAUCUCACAUCCCUACUUGGUCCCACUUGUAUGCCCACCUGCCAAUCAGGCUACGUAACCACUCCCCUUUUAUCCCCUUAGGAAGUGAUGAAAGGCCUGGAACAUGGUGGGCCCCUCCCUUAUUGCCCUUGCUUUGCCUCCGGGGUGCGUGGACUUUGGGCUGCCCGCUCUCUGUUUUCUUCCCUGCAUGUUUGCUCCAUGUGGCUCCUGGCCUGCUCUCUGCUUGCUAUGGACCCAACUUAGCUUCUAGACUUCUCUUUCUCCCCUAAAUGAAGU